rnacentral:tRNA from 1 species
GGAAAGGUGGCUUAGUGGUAGAGCGCUUGCCUUGUAUGCAUGAGGCCCUGGGUUUGAUUCCUCAUUACCA